AUGGAUCGUCCCAUAUCGUGGGAUCAUGCCCCAUAGCCCAAAGAUUCACCAUCACUAAAGAAUUCUUUGGAAUUGUGUAGUUCAUAACCUCACACGUGGAAUUUGCAGAAUGUGGAAGAAAUGCUAUAGGAGGGUGGAGUCUUAAGGUUUCUUUGAUGCAAGCAUUCAAAUAUGGAAGUUUAGAAAGAUUGGAUUCUUUGAUGGAGUUGGAGUUCAUUUCACCUUCAAGUUCUUCACGGAGUUUGGCCAUGGCUUCUUUGUUCUUGAGCAGCUCAGCCAUGGCCCAUUCACUUGUUGCAACUAAAGUCCCUGCCCCCGCUGGAAGUAUCUCCUACAACAAAAUCAAUCAAAAGAUUAAACCAAAUAACUUGCUCAAUUAAUAUUCUCAUUCAAAUUUAAGUACUUCCACGUUGGCACCGCAACAAAUCUCUCAUGGAAAAUACACACGCGCAUGAUACGACCGAUUCUUGAAUGAACAUGGCCAACUGGACAAUACACAUGCCCAUUGUCGACUGGGUUGGUCAUUUUUCUUUCGCAUUCCCACUGAAGUUGAAUGCUGAUAGCUAAAUUUUGGUGGGUUCUACAGUGAUUUUUCUUUCGUGUUCCUACUUAAGUUGAAUUAUGGUAACUAACAUUUAGUCAAACAUACUCAAACAUCACUUACCAAAAGCAUGUAGAGCAUUUGGACAUCUGAAAAUCCAUUUGCCAUCAUAAAAUCCAAGAAAUCCCCAUGAUUAAUCACAUCAUCACUGCCAUUCUCCAUUCUUCUCUGCUUUAUUAAAUCUCCCCACACUCCAAACAUUUUAUCCAUACAUUUCUUGGAUUUCUUCUGCUGCCCAAGAGGAUCCAAUUUCAGCCCUUCAAGGAAAGGGAAAAAAUCUGCUACAAUUGGUGUAGUAGCACACUCCAUGAACCUCCACAUAAUCACUCUCCAAUCACUUCCCAUUUUCUCAUCAUUAAAAUCAAUCAAAUCCUUCGAAAAACAAAUAUUUCCCAAAGUAUUGUAAACAGUUGUAAACACAGUAUCCCUUAUUGUCAAAAUUGAACCUUCCUUAUUACGCAAAAAUUCCAUCAUUUGUUCCAUCUUUUUUGCUCUAAUUUCAGCCUGCAAAUCCAAUGCUUUGUUCGAAAAAAACUCCGAUUUCCACAAAACCCUAAUCGAUUUCCAGUGGGGGUGGCAAUCUGUUGCCCAUAACAGAGAAAAUUUCUUCAAAUCAGACUCUUCAAUCGGAGUUGCUUUUGGAGCAUAGCGCGCCGACAAUUCACGGUCGUGGGUUUUAAGAAUCUCCACCGCCGCAGCCGGCGAAGACCCAAAAACGACAGCCCGAGUCCCCAUCCUUAAAGACAUCAAAGGCCCAUAUUUUUUUGCUAAAUUUGAGACUAAAACAUGCGGUUUUGUUCCUAUAACAUGCGGUAUGUUGCCUAUGAUAGGCCAUGGAAAUGGCCCCGGCGGAAGAAUUUUGCGUUUGAAUGACACAGAUUGAAGAAUAAGAAAGAUUAAAGUGGGUAGAAGGAGAGUAAGGAGAAUGGGAAAUCGAUUGAAAUCAGUAAAUGAUGAGAAAUCCAUGGAUUAUAUGCAAGAAAAAUUACACGAUGAUUUAAAAGUACUAACAUAAGCAAUUAGAUUGAGAGAUGUGAUUCAGCUGCCUGCUUCAAGGGAUAAAUUUUACAGAAGUAAUUCAAUCUGGGGUUAAAUCGUAUAAUGAUUUACAAGUUCAGAUUGUCAUUUUCGAAUUUUUCCGUUACUUUACGUUAAACAGAAGGAAUCUUUAAGUUCCAAGUACAUUGUUUUCAUGUUUUAUUAUUGGGAUAAAAUAAUAACUACCACACACUGCUCUACGACUUUUUCAAAGAAUGCAUCUUUCUCAUGAAAAAUCAGUAUAUAUUUACCUCAAUUUAUAAUUUUACGAUAUAUUAUUUAAAAAUUUAAAACAAACAUUUUUCAAGAAUCACAAGAUAAGGUAAUGUAAAUGUUAUCGUACUACUCGGAAAUAUUAUCAAAUUUUUUUAAUUUUUAUUAAAAAUAGUAUUUUUUUUGGAACGUUUAUGUUACCAUAUAUUUUGGAAAAACCAAUCAACUAAUAAUAUUAAGGUAACACCUAGGGGCGGAUCCACAUGAGGUCAUGUGGGGGUCAAAUGACCCCACAAAAUUUUGGAUUUUUUUUUUAUUUAUUUAAAGAAAAUGGUUGUUUUAACCCGUUUUCGACCCACUUUAAUAUAUACUAAAUGCAAUUGAAAUAUUGCAUUCUUAAUAUUAUUUCUAGCUAGUCACCGUCUAGUUUUUCGCUUCUUAAUUGUGUGCGAAAUGAUCAACCAUAUCAAAAAUUACGAUGUAUCAAAAUAGACCAUUUCAAAUUAGUAUUUCGAAAAUUUCGAUAAAAUGCUAACUUUUAAAAUUUGCCGAUGAUCGUAUACUAUCCAAAUCUACAAAUCGCUUUCAUCAUCUAGAAAUUCGUUUCGAAAACUACAUCGUAGUCAUAUCGAAUGAUCCAAACAGAUAUCGAAAAUAGUUAAAUAUGCGUCAAACGUACGUAUUAAAACAGGCGUUUAACUCGUCUUUUAAAAAAAAAAUCAAUUAUUUUAUUAACUUUAUCAUUUUUUCACUAUAAAUUUUUCAAUAUAAUUUACAUCAUUUUAUUAGGAAAUUUUACAUUAAAAAUAAUGUCAAAAAUUCUAAAGUCGUUACGGAUUAAAUGUAAUUUGAAUUACUUUCAAAUUAUUUUUUCGUUAAACUUAAAUUUCAUUUACUUCGUACAUCCAAUUUAAUUUACUCGUCGUUAGCUCAACAUCCAUAAAUGACAUGGUAAACAAACUAUACAUGUAGCAAAAUUCAUUUAACAAUACUGAUAAUGAUAGAAUUAUAAGACACUUUCAAGAUGUCAAAAUGCGUAUUAACUUAUUUUUAUAAAUAUUAUAUUGUUUUAAAAAAUUACACAUUAAUUUUUGGAGCUAAGCACAACACGCGAGGAUGACCUUGCAAGUGACCGCGCCCUCACAUUCCCGACGGGGUCCUCAUGAAUAAAAUAAUUUCAACCCCAUGUGUGUUUGUGUUAUGUCAACUUCGCGAUCAUUCAUGUGAGCACUGUAGCACGAUUCUAAUUUUUGACCCCACAACCUAAAACGACUGGGUUCGCCCCUGGUAACGCAUGUUUACUUGUAAGAUAAUGCAUGUGUUAUCAUCAUCGUAAUUCGAAAUAUCCUAGCAAAAAAUAACCUGGGCAGUGCAAAUCAGCACCUUUAUCAACAACUUCGCCAUCAUGAUCUGAACAUUAUUACCUUCUUCCAAAUACCACGAAGACAUUAACAUUAAGAUAACAUUCCAGUUACUCGUAGGAUAACACGCGUUAUCAUCACCAUAACUCCACAUAUUCUAGCAAAAAAGUAAAAAAUAAAAAAUAAAAUAAAUAAAUAAUAAUAAUAAAAUUGAAACACUGCCAAUAAGUGUUCUCCACCACCAUGAUUGAAAUCAAGCUCUCAAACGCUAUCACCAUCUUUCAAAUUCCACCAUAUCAUCAUCAACGUUAAGGUAAUAUAUGUGUUACUUCUAAGAUAACACGUGUGUUACCACCACUAUAACUCGACAUAUCCUAGCAAAAAUAACUCAAAACACUGUCAAUGGACACCUUCCAUAACCACCACUGCUAGUAGCCAGCUGCGAAAUCUUGGUGUGACCAAAUUUUACAAAAUUUCCUUGGAUUAAAAAAACUACAUAAAUUCGUGUUCGUUUCCUAGGAUUAAAAAAACUACAUAAAUUCGUGUUGGUUUCCUAUUCUGAAAUCCAUUAUAGAUGUGUAUAGCCUAAAACUUUAUGGUUAACCACUAGCCGUCAAUUGUCAACAUGAUUACCCGCCCAGAAAUAGAGAGAGCAAAAAAAUCCAUUCAACCCAAUAUCCGUGAUGUCCUGUCCCGAAUGGGAUGGGUGAUACCCGCCUAACUGAGUACAUGAGAUGGGUAUGGAACGAGGGUCAUUGCCCUGAAGCGAGUAUGGGACGGGUACGGAAAACAUAGUCCUUGUCCCAUUACCCACCCCGUUUAAUAUUAAUUUCAAAUUUAAGUUCUUAUCAAACAAAAAUAAUAGAUUUAUCAUCAUUUUUAAAAAGAAGAUAAGUUGUUUUUAAUAAAUUGGUAAAAAAGUAAUACUAUUUACUAACUAAAGACAUAAAAAAUAAAAGAAAAAGAAAAAAUAAAUGGGGUGAUAAAUGAGGUAGGAGACUUGCCCCGUCUCAAACCCGCUCCAUCCCGCUUUAACAGGGUAUAAGUAUGGGAUAAGAUAACAAAAAUACCCGACAAGACGGGUGGGAAUGGCCAACCCGUCCUAUACUCGUCCCGUUGUCAUCCCUAUCCAGCAACCACCUCCAUCACAUAGAGCUGGCGACGUCCACGGUCCAUCUCCAUCUAAGCAUCUCAAUAUGUUUGAUUUUUUAAAAUAAGGUAAAAUAAAAUUUAAAAUUUAAAAAAAUAUUUGAAAAAUUGUUCGGAGACGAUGCAAGGAGUUGCGGGUCAUCAUCGCCAUUGAUGCUGGAGAAGAAAAUUUUUCGUGGUGAUGGCAAUGGCGAAGUUCGUAGAUGAAAGCAGUAAGUAGUGUGUGGUGGAGUCAUGAUGGCAGAGUUAGUCCCAUAGCUUGGGUAGGUGUGGUGAUGGUUGGUGUUUGUGUAGCGACGAAGGAUGGCAGUGACGUGGUCACGUGGGAUAAACGUGCUUGGAUGGAAAAAGGUUUUAAAAUUAGGUUUAACUAACAUAAUGUAAAUUUGACAAGUUUUGAUUCAAAACUAAGAACUUGUUUGGUAGGGAUUUUAAUCCAAUUAAAAUCAAUUUUUUGACCGUUAUUUCAUUAUUUCAGCCGUUAUUUUUGAAUUCUUCUCUUACAGGUAGAACCCACUUUAUUUCUAACAGUAAAAAAAUCAAUUAUUAGAAUCCCUACCAAACAAGCACUAAAAUGGUAGUUAUCAUCAAGAAUUAUAUAAAUAUAACCAAACCUUUAUUUUAUUGGUUUUGUCAAAGUAUUAAUUUUUUUUGUAACAUAUUCUAUUUUUUUUUUCCAAUUUCACUUGUUGAAAUAUGCUUUAAAAUCACGAUUCGGAAAUUUGUAUCUAUUAAAUAGCAAAAUAUAAUCAAUAUAUAACAACUUCCAAAAAAACUCAAAAUUAAAGCUUGGAUUCUAUUAAAAUCAACAGUAUCGAAAUAUUUUCAAGCCCUUGUUUGAGUCCCAUUUUGAGGAAAAAUGCAUUGUUGAAUGGACAAUGCUAUAUAUACAUAACAGUUAACACAUUGGUUUACACCUUGGUGAGUUGAUAGGUUUUGGUGCAUUGAUUUUAACACUUCACCUUUUUCAAUACAUAGCUAGAUUUUUGACACAUAAUGAAGUGUCACUUUAAGUUGUAGAAAACGGGUGUACAAGUAGAUUGAUCCUUUUUGAAUGAAUAGUGCAUUGAUAAAAAAUGUGUGACUAAAAAAUAAGAAAUUUUUUUUGGAUUUGAGUGUAAUAUUAUUUUAAGAAAAAAAUGUGCAAUUAAAAUAAUGUCAAAACACUAUUUAAGAAUGAAUUUUUUUUAGAGACCAACCAAAUCAAAACCAGAAAACCAUCUAGCUGCUUGACUGACAAGCUACAUUUCUCUUGACAGCCAAAAUGACACUAAGUCGAACUAAUUUUGGGCUCACUAACUUUGAAAUAUAUGAGCCUUUGAGCGCACCAAAGACCAAUUGGGCUUCAUCUUGAACCCAGACCGAAAAAAUUUUCUUCAUCAAUAACAUUGUUUAUAUAUUUAAGAUACAUAAUUUACAUAUUUACGCUCUUAGGCCUCGUUUGGGAGUGAUUUUUCACCUUAAAAAAUUAAUUUUUUGACCGUUAUUUUACUAUUUUAGUCGCAAUUUUUGACUUCUUCUCUCACAUGUGUCCCUCACUUUUCUCAUAGCAGUCUAAAAAUCAAUUCUCAAAAUCACUACCGAACAGAUCCUUAAUAGAUAUCUUCUAUCAUGAAAGAAUUAUGCUGAAUGUAUAGUAAUCAAAACCAGAAAACCAUCUGGCUGCUUGACCGACGAGCUACAUUUCUCUUGACAGUCAAAAUGAUACUACGUCAAACAAAUUUUCGGCUCACUAACUUUCAAAUAUAUGAGCCUUUGAGCGCACCGAAGACCAAUUGGACUUCAUCUUGAACCUAGACCAAAGAAAUUUUCUUCAUCAAUAACAUCGUUUACAUAUUUAAGAUACAUAAUUUACAUAUUUACGCUCUUAAGAUCAUGAAAGAAUUAUGCUGAAUGUACAACAAUCAAAACUAGAAAACCAUUUGGCUGCUUGACUGACAAAUUACAUUUCUCUUAACAGUCAAAAUGACACUACAUCGAACUAAUUUUGGGCUCACUAACUUUGAAAUAUAUGAGCCUUCCAAUUAGGCUUCAUCCUGAACCCAGACCGAAGAAAUUUUCUUCAUCAAUAACAUUGUUUAUAUAUUUAAGAUACAUAAUUUACAUAUUCACAUUCUUAAUAGAUAUCCAGCUUGAUAGCCCACUCACGUGAGUAGGCCAGCGAUCAUUUGUGAAAGAUGGUUUAAAAAUUAGUGUACUUGUAACAUAAUUCAUCAUGAAAUCAGGCUGUAAUAAGAUGUGGAUCUUUACAAUUAGAUUACACUUCUAAGGGAUAUACUUAGUGGGACCUUUAUAAAUGUACAAGUAGUAAAACGUCCACUUAAAUCACAUCAUCUCAAAUACCGGUGAGUAGGUCUUAACAGUUGUGCAUAACACUCACAUUUAUUUUAUAGAAACAAACAAGCUUCAAAUUAUAUUAACAUCUCCUGGACGGAAUUAGCAGCAACGGCUUCUUCAUCUGCAAUGGCACUGCAUAUUUUUCAUCCAUGUCUAUCUGCCUAUCAUUUGGAAGAGACCAUUUAAAUUAACAUAUCAAAGAAGCCAAAAUUAACUGCAAUUGCCUGUGAGCAUAUGGUAAACCUGGGCACAUUCUUCUUCCACCACCAAAUGGCAAAAACUCAAAAUGUUGCCCUUUAAACUCCAAAUUCGAGUUCAAAAAUCGCUCUGGCAUAAACGAUAAUGGAUCGUCCCAUAUCGUGGGAUCAUGCCCCAUAGCCCAAAGAUUCACCAUCACUAAAGAAUUCUUUGGAAUUGUGUAGUUCAUAACCUCACACGUGGAAUUUGCAGAAUGUGGAAGAAAUGCUAUAGGAGGGUGGAGUCUUAAGGUUUCUUUGAUGCAAGCAUUCAAAUAUGGAAGUUUAGAAAGAUUGGAUUCUUUGAUGGAGUUGGAGUUCAUUUCACCUUCAAGUUCUUCACGGAGUUUGGCCAUGGCUUCUUUGUUCUUGAGCAGCUCAGCCAUGGCCCAUUCACUUG
rnacentral:lncRNA from 1 species